UUCACCAUUGUCAGACCUGCUUUAUGUCGGGGCUCUGGGCAGCCGCCCGGUUCGCCCAGGCCUGUGUCUGGCCCUGCACACCCCAGUUACUUCUUCCUCCAAAAAAGAAUAAAGCCCCCACAUGUCUGAGUUUACCUCUGUGGCCAGGACCUGUGUCUGCCCCCAGCUUUAUAGGCUCUUACUGCUGCUCUUUUAAUGUCAAGAGAAGAGUGCUUCAGAAAACAGCUCACAGUGCUCUUGCCAGAGAGAGACAGAGUCUUUGCUGCCGGAGGCAGGAGUUGCACGCUGGCUGGUAUCAAUGCCUCUGAGGCGAGUACAGGUGCAAAUCUAACAAGACAGGUAUAAAUGGCAAGGACAGAAAUAGAAGCUUGGAAACAGAACCAUUCCCCCAGGUUGACGCUCAUGCCUGUCGGUGGAGCUGUGCCCAGCAGGGGUCAGGUCCCCUGGGCAGGGGGGGAGGACGGUGGGGGGGAGCGAGAUGGUAAAAGUGGCUUCACAACCUUUUUUUUUUUUUUUGUAGUUAACGAGCCUGAUCCCAGAAUCCUUUUACAGUCCUAGAUGUCCUGUCAGAGUCCUUGGAGGAAUUUACUUGAGCAAGGAUUGAAAAUCGGGCCCUGACUGCAGAGCCCUGGAUCCAUUAAUGACAAAUUUGGUGCCAGAAUUUGAAUAGGUAUCACCAGGUUUGUCGGGCAGCUAUAAAUUCACCUUUGCAUUGAUUUAUACAUUUUGAGCAGCCUUUAAAAACGUUGAGCUCAGUAGUUCUCGCAUCUUAAGUUACAGAUCCUUCCAUUUUAUUCCUUCGCCAGACACUCCAGGGUGAGCUGGUCCCAGUUAGCUUGUCUUCUCCACUGUUAAUUACUACGUUAAUGCUGACUUCCAUUUCAGCUCGGGCAUUAAUAGGAAUACAUUCUCCUUCCUGUCUCCUGCCAGAGAUCUGUUAAAGCCCCAGCAGACAUCCCCGAUCCCUUCCAAUAAUUUUCAGCCCCCUGGAGCCUAAAUGGGUAACAACAAUCUUUAAACCAUUGACCAAAUUGAUGGGCAAUGUGAUAAACAGUGGCAGAAGUCUGAUGUGAUGGGGGCGUCAUUCCUGCCACAUAAAUUAUAAUCUGCACUUUUCUUUUCAGAAUUCAGCCUUUUACAGUCCAUUUUCAGCAGUAAAGAGCGAAAUAUUACAUUAUUUAUUUGCGAGGUGCUAAUAAUGUGUACAAGACAUAAAAGCUGAUGAUAUUGUGGAGAGCUUAUAGUCACAGGCAUGAACACAGAGAAGACAGAACGCACUGAAAGACCCAGAGGAGCAACUAACUUAGAUUCUUUCUCUAGUUUGUGCCUUCCAAUUGUCCCAUCAUUUAACUCCCCAAAUGAUUUCAUUCUAGACAGAGUUUUGGGGUCUCCUCUCAGUUUUGGUUCAAACACUGCACUGGAAGGUGUGACUGCAGCUUGGGAAGGACAGACCUGACCUUGCCUGACAAUACCAGUAAUAGUCUGCGGGAACCUUCAGCUCUAUCUUAAAUUGCACCAAAGAAGAGAAAUCAUUCUCGUCUUAAUAAAAUGAAAACUAGGCAAAUGUUUUAGGGCUUUACCUAUUUUCCAACUGCCAUAACAGCCAUAGCAAAAGCACUCACGUUGCGGCCCUGACGAAUCUGUGAAUUCUGCUAAAUACCUGUCAUCAACCAUCUCAGACAGGGCAUGAGAAGAGGAAGGACUUUAGCGUUCAUCCUGUUGAACUGUUCAGUAUUACAGUCCUGUAGCCAUAGCAAGAAGCACUGCCCAGUCAGGCCAAAUAAAUGUGUGAUAUCAAACGGGUGGGUGGGACCAAGCAAUCCGGCAAGAUGUUGAGUCAUCCUAACUCUUGACUUCAGUGGAAGAUGACCAUGGUCUUGAAGAGACACUCAACACCUUUCAGGAGCUGGGGCCAUUUCUGGUGUUUGUUGUGUGCCUUAAUGAAAGGAAUGCAGAGGCUAGAAUGCAAUUAUCUUUUCUUCUUAUCUUGUUCCAAAGCCCCUGUAACAUCUAUAUUGUUUCAAAAACCAAAUGCUUUAAAAAAAAAUAAAAAUCAA